GCAACUCUGUCGAAAUAUUCAAUGAAUUGAAUUGAGUCAUGCUUACUGAAGAUUACUCACACACUUGUAACAGAUUUUUUUUUUCAUUUUUUAUUGGAACAGCGAAUCAAGGACUUGUUACUCUGGCAUACGUUGGAGUGGAAGUGAAUAUGGUUCUUUUCUCCAAAUCUGUACUAAAACAGACCAAUGCCGAGGCAUCAAAUACAUUUAGCAGAUGGAUGGGAACCACCUAUCUCUUCUCUUUAAUCGGUGCCUUUCUUAGUGACUCUUAUUUGGGAAGAUACCUCACUUGUGUCACAUUUCAAGUCGUCCUUAUCAUUGUAAGUUACUCGUUUUGAUCCCUUUGAGAAUUGUGACCUGUUUUUUCUUCCCCUGACUAGCAGGUUCCUUGAUAGAGCUGCCAUUAUCACCCCAAAGGACAUGAGCUUGGUGCAAGACAAAGGCCAAACUCCAAAUCCAUGGCAUCUUUGUACCGUCACUCAGGUUGAGGAAGUGAAAUGUAUACUGAGACUAUUGCCAAUUUGGUGCUGCACCCUUUUGUCGUCUGGAGUCUUUGUACAAUUGCUCUCUCUCUUUGUUGAACAAGGAGCUGCAAUGGACAUGACAAUUUCCAAGUUUCACAUUCCUCCUGCAAGCAUGUCCAGUUUUGACAUACUCAGUGUUGCAGCAUUCAUAUUCAUGAAUAGACGAGCUCUGGACCCACUUGUUGCGAGGCUAAGAAAGGACCCAAGAGGGCUCACCGAGCUUCAGAGAAUGGGAAUCGGUCUAGUUAUUGCAAUAACGGCAAUGGUCUCAGCAGGGGUUGUAGAGUUAUUCAGGUUAAAGCACGCACAAAAAGAAAAGGCUCGUAUAGGCUGCGACAGUGCGAGUUCUUUGAGCAUUUUCUGGCAAAUUCCUCAAUAUGUACUGAUAGGAGCAUCUGAGGUAUUCAUGUAUGUAGGUCAGCUAGAAUUCUUUAACGGGCAAGCACCAGACGGAUUGAAGAGCUUCGGAAGCGCACUUUGCAUGACCUCCAUAUCUCUAGGGAACUAUGUGAGUAGCUUACUCGUCACAAUUGUCAUGAAAAUCUCUACUACAGAUAACAUGCCAGGAUGGAUCCCAGGAAAUCUUAACAAAGGUCAUCUAGAUCGAUUUUACUUCCUCUUGGCAGCUUUGACAAGUGCAGAUUUCAUAGUCUACAUUAUAUGUGCAAAAUGGUACAAGUACAUCAAGUUUGAGGGAAAGGAUGGUGCCAAGAACAACGAUCAACAAGCUGACCAUAGAGUUUGAGUAUAUACAUGUAUCUUAGCAUUGAAACUGGAGGACUUGAUUUUUCACUUCUCUCCAAGUUGAGCAUGAGGGGUUGCAAAAUGUUUGUAGCUGAAUUUGAGCGUUAAUUAAUUAGUUAAUCACAACAUUCGAACUCUUUUAUUGUUUAAUUAUAACAAGUAGCUAAAAUGUCCGUUGUAAAUUGUCGGCCAAGUUAAGUGACGCUACCGGAAGUUUCUAGGAUUUGGUCCUAAUGUCACGUAAGCCUGCAAUGCAAAAAGAUAAUUAGGUGGAUGGCUUUUUGGCAGGCCACUCCGACGCUCAAGUCAGAAAACUGUAUGUGAGGAUAUUGAAAGAACUUGUAAUGAGAAUUUGAGAAUGAGAAUAUGCAUACCUAUUUCUGAUUAC
rnacentral:misc_RNA from 1 species